rnacentral:snRNA from 1 species
GGACAUGAAGAUGAUCUGGCUACAACAUCUAUCACCUCAUUGAUUUCCAGGGUUGAUUCAACAGAUCUGUUGGCUAGGCAGGCGUUCCCCUCCACUCUCACCCCUCCAUGUGUGUUCCUCUGGAAGCUGUACACUGUCGAAGAGGAUGUCCUUCCUAGAAUAGAGGAGGGCCAGUGUUUGGUCAAGGGUAUACUAGAAGCUGUGCUCCCCUGAUAGAACCACCAAACAGGCUCUCAAAGUCUGUAUCCAAUAGGAUUGAUAGCCUUGUAAAAAAGAGAGAGGGAAAGAUAAUUUAUUUUCCCCUAUACU